GAAUGGCAUCACGAGGGUUAAACUGUCUCCCUUUUCUAAUCAGUGAAACUAAUCUCCCCGUGAAGAAGCGGGGAUAAAUUUAUAAGACGAGAAGACCCUAUGGAGCUUUAAACUAAGCAACAAUUGCUAUAAAAUCUUAUUAUUCCAGAACAUUAACUUACAUCUUAACAACAUGAUUGCUAGUUUUCGGUUGGGGUGACCGCGGAGUAUAAAUUAACCUCCACGAUGAAAGAAACUUUAUUUCUUAGCCCAGAGUUACAACUCUAAGCACCAAAAAUUUGACAUAAAUUGAUCCAAUCUGCUUGAUCAACGAACCAAGUUACCCUAGGGAUAACAGCGCAAUCCACUUCAAGAGCCCCUAUCGACAAGUGG
rnacentral:rRNA from 1 species